rnacentral:RNase_P_RNA from 1 species
CGACCAGGUUGGACAGCCGCGGAUGGCGGCCGAAAGGCCCCAGAUGAGGAAAGUCCGGGCUCCGCAGGGCAAGGGAUAACGGGUAACGCCCGCCGGGGGUGACCCCAGGACAAGUGCAACAGAGAGAUACCACUGGUUGGCUCUGGCCAGCCAGAAAGGGUGAAAAGGUGCGGUAAGAGCGCACCCGGCCUAUGGCAACAUGGGUUUUACGAUGUAAACUCUAUCCCGGAGCAACGCCGUGGAGGAACACAAGGACGGCCCGUCCGUUCCGAGGAGGCGGCUUGACCCCGCAAGUAAUUGCAGGGCUAGAUAGAUGGCUGUUAAAACAGAACCCGGCUUACAGACCUGCGUCGCACA